rnacentral:rRNA from 1 species
CAGGGAUUGCCCUAGUAACGGCGAGUGAAGCGGCAACAGCUCAAAUUUGAAAUCUGGCGUCUUCGGCGUCCGAGUUGUAAUUUGCAGAGGGCGCUUUGGCAUUGGCAGCGGUCCAAGUUCCUUGGAACAGGACGUCACAGAGGGUGAGAAUCCCGUACGUGGUCGCUAGCCUUUACCGUGUAAAGCCCCUUCGACGAGUCGAGUUGUUUGGGAAUGCAGCUCUAAAUGGGAGGUAAAUUUCUUCUAAAGCUAAAUACUGGCCAGAGACCGAUAGCGCACAAGUAGAGUGAUCGAAAGAUGAAAAGCACUUUGGAAAGAGAGUUAAAAAGCACGUGAAAUUGUUGAAAGGGAAGCGCUUGCAGCCAGACUUGCCUGUAGUUGCUCAUCCGGGUUUCUACCCGGUGCACUCUUCUAUAGGCAGGCCAGCAUCAGUUUGGGCGGUUGGAUAAAGGUCUCUGUCAUGUACCUCCUCUCGGGGAGAACUUAUAGGGGAGACGACAUGCAACCAGCCUGGACUGAGGUCCGCGCAUCUGCUAGGAUGCUGGCGUAAUGGCUGUAAGCGGCCCGUCUUGAAACACGGACCAAGGAGUCUAACAUCUAUGCGAGUGUUUGGGUGUCAAGCCCGAGCGCGUAAUGAAAGUGAACGGAGGUGGGAACCUUUCGGGGUGCACCAUCGACCGAUCCUGAUGUCUUCGGAUGGAUUUGAGUAAGAGCAUAGCUGUUGGGACCCGAAAGAUGGUGAACUAUGCUUGAAUAGGGUGAAGCCAGAGGAAACUCUGGUGGAGGCUCGCAGCGGUUCUGACGUGCAAAUCGAUCGUCAAAUUUGGGCAUA